rnacentral:rRNA from 1 species
CACGUAGGGGACGAGCGUUGUCCGGAUUCAUUGGGCGUAAAGCGCGCGUAGGCGGCUCGGAAAGUCGGGCGUGAAAUGCCGGGGCUCAACCCCGGGACUGCGUCCGAUACUUCCGAGCUGGAGGUAGGUAGGGGCGUGCGGAACUGUAGGUGGAGCGGUGAAAUGCGUUGAUAUCUACAGGAACUCCGGUGGCGAAGGCGGCGCGCUGGACCUCUUCUGACGCUGAGGCGCGAAAGCCAGGGGAGCAAACGGG